rnacentral:rRNA from 1 species
UAUAUUAAAGUUGUUGCGGUUAAAAAGCUCGUAGUUGGAUUUCUGUUGUGAGCAGCCGGUCCACACUAUGUGUGAGUAUCUGGUUGAAUCACUACAUCCUCCUGAGGAACAUGGUGCGCUUCAUUGCGUGGUAUGGUAAUCAGGACUUUUACUUUGAGGAAAUUAGAGUGUUCACGGCAGGCGUUUGCCUUGAAUAUAUUAGCAUGGAAUAAUGAUAUAGGCGAUCGCGUCUAUUUUGUUGGUUUCUAGACGCAAUCGAAUGAUUAAUAGGGACAGUUGGGGGCAUUCGUACUGUGACGUCAGAGGUGGAAUUCUUGGAUUGUCAUACGACGAACUACUGCGAAAGCAUUUGCCAAGGAUGUUUUCAUUGAUCAAGAACGAAAGUAAGGGGAUCGAAGACGCUUAGAUACCGUCGUAGUCUUUACCAUAAACUAUGCCAACUAGAGAUUGGAGGUCGUUCUUUGUAUGACUCCUUCAGCACCUUAUGAGAAAUCAAAGUUUUUGGGUUCCGGGGGGAGUAUGGUCGCAAGGCUGGAACUUAAAGG